rnacentral:rRNA from 1 species
CCUACGGGAGGCUGCAGUGAGGAAUAUUGGUCAAUGGGCGCGAGCCUGAACCAGCCAAGUCGCGUGAGGGAGGACGGCCCUACGGGUUGUAAACCUCUUUUGCCGGGGAGCAACGGGCGUCACGUGCGGCGCCACUGAGAGUACCCGGAGAAAAAGCAUCGGCUAACUCCGUGCCAGCAGCCGCGGUAAUACGGAGGAUGCGAGCGUUAUCCGGAUUUAUUGGGUUUAAGGGGUGCGUAGGCGGAUCGUUAAGUCAGUGGGAAAAUUUGGGGGCUCAACCCCUUCCCGCCAUUGAAACUGGCGCUCUUGAGUGGAAGAGAAGUAUGCGGAAUGCGUGGUGUAGCGGUGAAAUGCAUAGAUAUCACGCAGAACCCCGAUUGCGAAGGCAGCAUGCCGGCUUCCGACUGACGCUGAAGCACGAAAGCGUGGGGAUCGAACAGGAUUAGAUACCCCAGUAGUC